UACGUAAAGAAGAAUAGACAAAAAUAUAUUCGAAAAGGAUAUGUCAUACGUCUGCAAAGAUAUAAGAGACCGCGUACAUACAUACAUAUAUACAUAAGUCAUAGGUGAAUCUCAUAUGAAGGCAAGCCAAGGCCACGACAUGAGACGUGCAAAUUAAAAAAGGUAAUAAUAUUAAAAAAAGAAGCAAGUAAAAAAUUCUCUCCCAAAACCGCUCCAACCACAACCAAGCACAACCACAGGCAAGGUACGGGCCUUUGUCAACGAGACAGUCAUCAACCAGUGAAUAUGUGGCGCAUUACCGUGAUUAUAUAUUGUGUACGUACGUACGUAUUUAUGUACGUAUGUGUUAUCUAUACACAUACAUAUAUACGUAUGAGAUGCGAAAAGAGAAGAGAGAUCAGAGGAUGCGGAAGGAUAAUCGAUCGGACGAGAAUCGAAAGGAGGGAAAAAAAUGAUUCGAGUCGAAUCGUCCUCACAUCCAAGCUAUACCGACGCUAUUUUCGUAGCGAUCACGGCGGAGUCAUCGAGCAAGAUUUGUUGCGGUAUAGGCGAUAUAUUUAUAUUUUACGCGUACUUUUUGAAGGACCGAAAAAAACUCUGGAAUCAUUUGUAAAUUUCAGAUCGAGUGUCGGAGAACUUCUUGAAAAGAAGAGAAACGUUUUAACCUGCUUUCGUCCAACGUUGGCGCGACCGAACGCGUCAUGAAAGAUUCGACCAAAGGGACCUGUGGAAAACAGAGGAUAGGUUUAGUCGGGAAGCGAGAGAGAAAGAACCCAUGGGAUUGGGAUAAUGUUCGUCGAGGGUUGCUCGUGUGAGAGGGAACAUAGAAAGGCGAUGUGGGUUAAUGGUAAAUACGAUAAUUAAUAAAUCAUACGAAUUAUCACAUA